AUACAAGCUCAUCUGCCUGCCUGGAGACAACAGAGACACUGGGAACCAGGAAACCCCAAAGCACUUGUACAUAUGAUGAUGGAUUUCCAAAAGAGCAAUAAUUAUCUCAGGAAGCCCACAAACAUAGCAAGUCUGUGGAGAAGGUCCAAGAUCAGUCACUACAACUAAUGUGUUCAGUAGGGAGUUGGGGAAAGUUAUUCAGUCUUCUGAAUUUUCCCUUGUACCCAUACAGCCACAUUGCUGUUGAGGUGCUGAUAGAAUAAAGCCUGUAAGAUUCUGACCUUCUGCCCUAUGAGAACCCAGUUAGGAACGGUGGCUGGUUGGAAAGAAGAAGAGGGUAACCUCACUGCAUUCCUGGUCAACUGGGAAGUGAAAUGAUGCAUGCAGAGGGGAGGCUAGAGGCUGUAAGCUCUUCGGCACCAAGACCAUUUCAGUUAUGUAUGGUUGUACAGUGCUUAGCACAAUGGAUUCUCUAGGUGCUACCAUGGUCCAAAUAAUAAAACAAUAAUUUCCAUAGAC